rnacentral:tRNA from 2 species
GCCCGGAUGGUGGAAUGUAGACACGACGAGCUUAAACCUCGUUGGCCUCGUGGGCCGUGCCGGUUCGAGUCCGGCUCCGGGCA